AUUUUAUAUUUACAAUUUAUAUUCUAAAUAUUACGUGCAAUUCUAACUGACAAUGCGACUAUAGAAAUAGUGGACGUGACAAAGUUUUAAACGAUUAUUUAAAAAAAAGCCCAAGUAUUGUGCGUGUACCUCGUUCCAACCGUAUCGGUUCUUGGCCUGCACGAUGGCCUCGUAGACGGCGCCGGGCUGCAGCCCGCGCAGCUCGUGCGUGACGCGGUGCGUGAGCGAGCCGGCGGGCUCCGGCGCCGGGAUCACCACGUCGUGCCACCGGCCCGGCUGCUGGAACGACUCGUUGAUCUGCCAACACCAUGCAGAUGGCGGCUGUGACGUGCGCGCGAGCCUCGACCUGUGAUGUGUGGUGGACGGCACUCACCGCCAGCUGCCGGUAGAGCAGGCGCAGCUCGUCGAGCGGCGGGUACGAGUCGACGGCGAACGCGAGCAGGUAGGAGGCGGCGCGGCGCGCCAGCGGCGGCGACGUGAACACGGCCGGCCCCGGCCGCCCCGACACCUCCACGUGCUGCCGCGCGCGGCCCAGGCUGUUGUCCGCCACGCAGCUGCAACACCACACAUGCCGCUGUUGCACCACGACACUAGCACUGCUAGUAAGGUCACCAACUGUACUCAUUCAUUGGGCACUAAUGCUGCUGUUGAAAGGGUAUUUCCACUAGGGAAUGAUUAUUGGAGCAGUGAGAAGUCGCAACUCUCUGUAAAAACAUCAUCUGCUGUCUUAACAGUCAAGUUUAAUAUGCAAAAUGAAAGUUGUUCGGAUGUGGCUACAUUAUUAGACGAACAUCCUCAUUUAAUAAAAAAAAACCAAUCCGAAGAAAAAAAUAAAGUUUUUAUCGUUUUUUCUUCUUUUUUUUUACCUAUCAAAAAUUCUUGCAAAGUGUACUCUUUUUGAACAAAAAAUAGUUGGUCACCUUACUACUAGUGUUGAGGUGCCGGGGGGGGAAGGGAUUUAAGGAGCUUCGACCUUAUCAGGUCGAUCUUCACGCAGUUCCCCUGGAAACCAUCGUGGUUAAUUCUAAUGGAAUUCGUCACGAUGGGCUAACUGGCCAGCUUUCAUUAUCACCUAUCAUCCUUCACUAGUACCCCGCCAGUGUAUACCGAAAACGUAGGCGGGGUUACUAUUCCAUUAUCACCCAUUAAAAAAAAGUGUUGUGGUGUUGAGACGGUGACAUUUGAAGACAGGCACUACAUUAUUAUCUACCAGUACCAGAUACGCUUGCUUCUUCUUUCUUUUCAUUCUUUCAUUUAAUGAUUUAUACAUUUGAUCACGCUACAAAAUAUGAAGCCGAACCUAACGCUGAAUGUACAUUCUUUAAACGCAUCUUUUAAAUGGUUUCGACCAACUUAUCUAAAUCCUUAGCGCCAAUAAGACUCCCACGAAACUAAGUAAAGAUCUUAAAAGUGUUUCAGGAUACUGUUGAAAGCAAAUAAGUAGUAAUGAAAUCAGAGAUUUCCCAAUGAUAGAUAUACAACUUACCACCAGAUACCAUCAUUAUCCUAAUUAAGAGUCAUACCAGCCGUUGACUGUCCACUGCUAAAGAUAAGCUUCCCCCUGUAGGUGGAGUUUUGCCGGUAGUUGCCACACUUGGCAGGCGGGUUGUCAACCGUAGUUAGUCUUUGGUGAUGUUUUAGAAGGACGCUGCUACCCAUCCUUCGCCCUCCCUUAGUCGCCUCUUACGACACCCACGGGAAAGGAAGGGGUGACCUAUUCUAUGCCGGCUAUCAAAGAAAGUCUAUUUUCCGUUAAGUUUGGGUACGUCCU